rnacentral:rRNA from 1 species
GACGAACGCUGGCGGCGUGCCUAACACAUGCAAGUCGAACGGUGAAGCGCCUUCCUUUUUGGUGGGUGUGGGUGAGUGGCGAACGGGUGAGUAACACGUGAGUAACCUGCCCCCUUCUUCUGGCUAACCGCAUGAAAGUGUGGCUAAUACGGGAUAUUCUGGGUCUGUCGCAUGAUGGGUCUGGGAAAGAUAUUGUUUCGGUGGGGGAUGGGCUCGCGGCCUAUCAGCUUGUUGGUGGGGUGAUGGCCUACCAAGGCGGUGACGGGUAGCCGGCCUGGGAGGGUGGACGGUCACACUGGGACUGAGACACGGCCCCGACUCCUACGGGAGGCAGCAGUGAGGAAUAUUGCACGAUGGGCGGAAGCCUGAUGCAGCGACGCCGCGUGAGGGAUGGAGGCCUUCGGGUUGUGAACCUCUUUCGCCAGUGAAGCAGGGCUGCCUCGUUUGUGGGUGGGUUGACGGUAGCUGGAUAAGAAGCGCCGGCUAACUACGUG